CUUGUGUGUGUGUUAUGAGCCUGAAAGAUUGUUUUAAGAUACAUGGCGUAUUUCAUAAAUAUGCCUGUUCAAGU